GCAAAAAAUUGCAUAACUUUUUUGCAAAAAGGAAAUAAUGGAUCGAGUUUUUCAUGAAAAAGGAUAUCGUUGAUCAAGUUCUUCGUGAAGAUGCAAGGAACAAAUAAAUUUAAGAGUAUAAAUUCAGAAAAAACUGUGAUUACUGAUAGUGAGUAAUAUAUAAAGGCAUUAAAAAUUGGUCAUAUAUGGAGGAAAUCAAUUCAACUAGCUUGUCAUGCUACCGAAACAAAUUAAGGAUACCAGUUACUUAUCAAAACCAUUGAAGAAGUAUCUGAGCAGAUUUAUGGCAUAAAAUAUUGAAACAAAGACUCAUAUUGAUUCUUUUCGGAAGAAAUUAAAUAUUUGUAAUGAGGAGAGUUAUCAAUUUGUACUGUUGGAUCCCAAUGUUUCAAUCAAAAAAGGAUGGGAGAAUGAUAAGAAAUAUAAAGAAAACAAUCACGUUGGUUCAAGAAGGUUUAAAUCAAGUAUUGAGUUGUCAAAAAAAUUUAAAAACAUCAAUCAGCAUUGUGCAAAGGAUUAGGCCAUGACAAGAGGAUAUGUCACAAGAACAGCUACGGGGUCCAGGUUAGUUGAUCUAUUAAGAAGGUGAAAGAGCUUCCCUGGGCUUACAGCUCUUGAAGUGAGUCUGCUUUCUCCUUUAUAACCCUUAAUGCCUUCUAACGCAUUCUACUAAUCUUCGACCACCCUUCCCCUUUUAUCCGGAGCUGCCGUAACUUGGGCUCAUCAUGCUAUACUCGCGGGGAAGGAAAAACGAGCAGUUUACGCUUUAGUAGCUACCGUUUUACUGGCUCUAGUAUUCACUGGCUUUCAAGGAAUGGAACCCAAGAAAAGUGGAAAUGAGCUAAUCAUUUCCAAACAAUUAUAACAUGAUUCAAAUUUGGACUUACCUGCCACUCUCAAUUUGGCCAAUCUUGUUUAUAGUAGUUCGUGGUAUAAAUUUACAUCAGCAGUCUUCAACUCUCAACAUAAUUUACCUGCUUGAUUUGUCUAUGUAAAUCAAGAAAGAAAUGUUUAUUUUCUGUCUCUUUAUAUUUAUCUUUCUUAGCUGUGUUUUGGAUAGCAAUUUAGCAAACCUUUUGGUUUAAUUGUAGCAACGAUAAUAUUAUUAUAUGUGAAUUCUGUCGAUUGUUUUCUAUGUUCA